AGUUGUUCGGUUUCGCUGUGCCUCGAGUAGGAGUUUUUGUUUUUGUCACGCCAAGAAUUCGUACCCAGCUAAGCAGGAUAUUUGAUGCUGGAAACUACUUCUGGGGCUUGUUUUUGCUCGAAUCAGCCUCCAUUCUCAUACAUUUGGUGCAGAGGUUGCCGCAUCAUGCUUGUACAUGGUACUUCUUCCCAUAAUACCAGGACCAUUGGAAAUGGAGCUUUGUUUGUGCUUCCAUCGAAGCUUCCUUUAAGUUGCGAUUGUCUCAGCGUUUGUCGAGAAAUAACAAGGAAAGUAAGGUACGUAACGUAGCGGAAGGUGCAUGGGAGAAGAGAAAAACAAGCCUUUUUCUUUCUUGCAAUUCUUGAAUUCACAGGGAGAGGAAAAAAAAAAUAAAAAUCCGCAGAUAAUGAAUUCUCAUUGGAUUCAGGCUUACAUGCGUGGUUGGCCAAAUUGGGCGAUCGAUCGACUAGUAGUCUAUGCCCUUCUGUGACCAGAAAGACUGGUCUUAGUCUGCCAUUAGAGUUUCAGAAAUCAUGGAGUACUAUGAAUUCAAGGGUUUUUAGUUGGCCCGCGCGUCCACCCUUUCAAAGGAGCGCAGCUAUAUAUAUGAUGAGUUACUUGGGUACCAUUUUGUGGAACACAUGGCAGCUGUGGUUUCUUCAAGACUAGUCUUCCUGUCUGCCAUAUGCACUCUCAUUGCUCCAGCCAUUGCCAACCGGCCAACGUUCCUUCGCCAAAACUGUUCUGAUAAGCAGGGUAACUACACCAGUGACAGUAGCUACAUGGGAAACCUGAAUCUCGUCCUCUCCAUCCUCUCCAACAACACUGAAAUUGAGUUCGGGUUCUAUUUUUCGUAUUAUGGGAAAAACCAUGACAAAGUCUAUGCAAUUGGACUUUGUAGAGGAGAUUUUAAGCCUGAUGUUUGCCCUAAUUGCCUCGAUGUCGCCAAAGAUUAUCUCACGCUACAGUGUUGUCUCAGUCAGAAGGAAGCAAUAGUAUGGUAUGACGAGUGCAUGUUAUGCUACUCAAGCCGCAACAUAUUUAGGACCAUGGAAGAUAUUCCUGAAUUUCCUUUGUGGAACGACGUACGAUAGCGUAUCAGUCGACGUGAAGGUUGAGUUUAAUAAUCUCCUCUGGAAUUUGUAGGGAAGGCUAAGAGGUCGAGCUGCAGCAGGUGGUUCUCGCUGUAAGUUUGCAAUAGGAAAUGCACCAGGACAAAACUUCCAAGCAAUAAAUGCACUUGUGCAGUGCACACCUGAAUUGUCCGAGCAAGAUUGCAAUUAUUGCUUGAGUUUGGCUUUUGAAAAUUACUGGAAUUGUUGUGCUGGGAGAAUAGGUGGGAGAACUCUUAGACCCAGCCGUAAUUUUAGGUAUGAGAUCUACGGCUUCUACCACCCUGCUGCUGAUGCGCCAUCACCAUCACCAUCACCAUCGCCACCGCCUCUGCCUCCGCCUCCGCCUCCGCCAUCGCCACCGCCUCCACCAGGUGAGAAGAGUGUGGAAAAUCUCCAACUGCGAUCAUUAUAGUUGUGCCCUUUGUUGCUCUUGUGGUACUAGUCAUCUCCAUCUGCAUCUAUUUAAGAGUUGGGAGGCCAUGGGAGAAACAAGGAAAUGAAGUUGUGGAUGAGAUUAGAAAUGCGGAAUCCUUGCAAUUUGACUUCGGCACUAUUAGAGUUGCAACAGAAAACUUUUCUGAUGCGAAUAAGCUUGGACAAGGUGGAUUUGGUACUGUUUAUAAGGUGAUGUGAUUUUAUUUUUGGAAAUAUAUCAAGUAUUUGUGAUGACUUGUAUAUAUAUAUAAAAUUUGAGUGUUAAUUAUGCUUUGUUUUAAAAUAUUUUUUCAAUGUAAACUCUCAAAUGGACAAGUUAUUGCUGCUAAAAGGUUAUCAAUGAACUCUAAACAAGGAGAUAUAGAAUUUAAAAAUGAAGCCUUGUUGCUAUCCAAGCUUCAACACCGAAAUUUAGUUAAGCUUUUAGGCUUUUGCUUGGAAGGAAAUGAAAGGAUUUAUGAAUUUGUGCCCAAUACAAGCCUUGAUUACUUCAUAUUUGGUAUGGCUACACUUUUAUCUUAAUUUUAUAUCUAUAUAUUGCAUUGGUAGUAAUUUAUUUUGGGUUUCAGGCCUAGUGAGGAUAAGACUUCGGCACAUUUUACUUCAAUAGUCAUUAACUUGGUUAAAUGCAUAGAUCCAAUCAAAUGUGCAAAUCUGGAUUGAGAGGAGCGGUACAAAAUUAUAAGAGGCAUUGCUCGAGGGCUUGUUUAUCUUCAUGAAGAUUCUUGACUUCGUAUUAUUUAGCGUGAUUUCAAAGCUAAUAACAUUCUAUUAG